AGUUAUUUUAUAAUGCUAAACUUAUUCCUAAUUAUAAGAGUAUGUGUUUUAAUAUUUGAUUAUCUAAUAUCAUAAUAUUUUGUUGAUUUUUUAAUUUUAAAUUUUUAUUAGAUGUUGAAAAAUGAUUGUUAAGUUAUAAAUUUAUCAUCAUAUGAUUUUUUAAAAUUAACUGUUUUUAUCACUCUGCUAUAUUAAUUGUUCUAAUUGACUUUAACAAUUAUUUAGUGAAAUAUUUAUAUAGUUCUCCUAUUAUUCUAAAUUUUAUAAACUUCAAAUUAUAAAACAGAUAAAUUAUUUUCUGUUUAUAUUUAAUUAACUGACAAAAUAUAUGUUUGUCAAAAGAAGUGUUAUGUCUUUAUGACCGUUUGCAAAUAUUAAAAACCCGGCCCAACUAAAUUUCUGACUUUAUCACCGUUCGGUUUUAAAAAAACACAGAAAUGUAGAGUUUAAAAAAAUAUAUUUGUCUAGAUAUUUCUGAAGACUAUCCCGAUGAGUCGAUUAGCGGGAGACACCGAGAAGCGGUGAAAGAAUCUCAAGUCUUUGCAAGAGAAUAGCGAUGCCAAAGCAAGAAACUGAAAUCUGUUUGUUAUUCAUUCGAAUCGGGGAAGACGAAGAGGACGAUCUGGUUGAUCAGGAAAGAGAUCCAAUAAGAAAACAAUCGAAGUUAGAGAUCGAAACCCAUUUCCAAAUCAUCAUGAAAAUCAGAAGAGCAGAGUGUUUGUUUCCGUUCUAGGGUUUUGAAAACGCAAAGAGCUAAUCGAUUGAAGGAGCUUCCGACAAUACGCAGGUUAUGUAACGGUGAAGGAGACACAUGGAAGAGCUUUGUUCUUUGGUCUUUGAAGCCACUCAUAAUCCAAACAAAAAAACUUACUCUACUUUGGCUCAAUGGAGAUGGAAAGCACGAGCAAAGAACACUGGUGGUUAUGUGACCUUUAUAGGUAUCCUACACCUCAAGCCUUGGAGCGAAGAUUCAGUUUAUGCCCAACACAUAGCAGUUAGUACAACCAGUUGCUGUUCACACAAGGUUACAGAAAACAAAGGUAUUAUAUAAUUGUCCAUAUCUUAUAAAGAACAAAUGUAAAGUAUAAGAUGAUGAAUGCAGAAACUGAUGGUGACAUAGUAGGAGACAUAGAUUGAUUGUCUGCUUCGGCUACAAGAUAGGAAAGGAUAUAAAGUGAUAUAAUGUACUGCAACCGUCAAAGAGAGUUCCUUUAAACAAUUGAAAAAAAAAUUGUUUAUAGUGAUAUUAGAAGCCAUAGAUGUUAGAUGUUUCGAUGGCAGUGGUUUGUUUAGGAAGAGAGGAAGGUUAUUUAUAAUAAGCAUUGGACAUUGAUAGAUAUAGGACUUUGGUAAACUUGCGGGUAUCUCGUAAUCGUAUCUCAAGAGAUACUAAAAUUCGAUAUAGUUACGAUCGUAAUUCCGAAAAUUAGGUAGAUUUAGUUACCAUAUCUUGGAUAUUUGUAACUACUAUGUUUCUUAUUUCUUACAAUUGCUUUUAAUUCG